GUCUUCCGCCACUGACUUCCGGUUCCUGUGUGCUUCACCCAAAAGGGCCCGGCCUUUCAGCGGAAAGGUUCGGGUGGAAGCGGCGUUCCGGCCAGUUCGCCAAGGAUAGAGUCCAGGAAAGCGCAAAGCGAGCAGCAAGUCACUGUGACCCCCUACAGAGCUGGGUGAUCUGGACGCUACCAAGUAGAAUAUAUCAAAAAUCUAUCCCUGGUUUCCCAACAUCCCUCCUAGAGGCAAAGGAGUUCAAUGGCUACAUUCAAACUCUGGAACCAGUCAGUCUUGUGUUUUAACACUGUGUCCAGUCUUGGCAAACUAACAACAUCAACUGGGGCAAGUGACGUCACCUCUCCAAGCCUCUUCAGACGCCUCCAGAGUGCAUGAGGGACUCAGGACAUAAUUAUAUCCCUUAUAAUGUCUAGCACAUUGCCUGGCACGUAUAGGGAUUCCGUGUUUGUUAAAAAAAAAUUAAUGAAUGAUUACAUAUAUAACAUCCCAAAGGUUAAUUUUGUUUAGGAAGAGCAUUAAAAAUUCGUGCUGCACAGCUUCAUGGCCUUGAGAUGGGCACAUUGCUAAAACAGGAGAUGAAAAGCAUUAACCAUAAAGGAAAAAAAUAGACAAAUUAGACCUCUUUUAAGAACGUCUCUUUGUUAAAAGACACCAGUGAAAAGGCAAGCCCAAGCCCGAGAGAGAAAGAAGAUAUUUGCUAUACAUGUAACAAAGAACUUGUAUCUAGACUGGACUUAAAGUACCUACAAAUUAAUAAGAAAAAGGCAAGCAAACCGACUGAAAAAAUGGACCUAAGACUUGGAUAGGUAUUUUACUUCAAGAAGCUAUUCUAAUGACCAAUGGACCAGAUGAAAACGUGCUCACCUUUAUGAGUCACCAGGGAAACGCAAAUUAAAACCCACACUGUGAUACCAUUACACACCUGUGGGAAUAGUGAAGGACAAAAAGAUGAUACUGAGUGAUCUGUGGAUCGGCAGGGACGUGGGACUCUCAUGCGUGCUGAUGGAAGCAUGGACUGGUAGGAUGGUAGAAUCUCCUGGGGAGACCAUUUGGCAGUGUCUCCAGAAGCUGAACCUACACCUACAAGAUGACCACAGCAGUCCCACCUGUUGGUAUCUAUUCAACAGAAUGCAAACAUACGUGCGCUGAAAGACAUGUAAUAGGUUGAACUGUAUGUAUAAAAUUGCUGACAUCUGACAGCUGUUGAUUUACAAAAACUGCAAUUUCAUACGGUUAAACCUAAUACUAGAAUGUUCAUAGCAGCAUUAUUCAUACUAGCCAAAAUCGGAAAUAUCUCAAAUGUCAAAAGUCUAUGCAUCUGUUGAACGAACUUCAGCUACACCCAGCAAUGGAUGUAUUGGAAUGGAUGAAUCAAAUACGUGGAUGAAUCUCACAAACAUAAUGUUGAGCGAAAGAAGCCACAUACUGAUGUAAAGUACAAAAGCAGAUAAAAUGAUUCAAGGUGAUAAAAAUUCAUCAAACUGUGGGCUUAUUAUUUGGGCACUUUUCUGUAUGUUUGAUACACUUCAAUGAAAAUUUCCUUAAAAGUUUAAUUCUCCAAGUCAUUUGAAUUAGAUAGGCAUUGCAUUAGAUUUGAAUGUUUACUUAGUGAUAUGAUCUACUUUAUUUAGUCCUCAAAGAUGCUCACCUCCUCAAACGUAGCCAGGACUCCCACGAAAGGGCUGCCAGUUCUUGGAUAGAUUAUUCAGGCUGGAGCACACGACAUAUCUGAUUGCUCCCCCUUCCCCAGUGUUACUUUGUGGAGGAAAUAUAAUUGGUCCUUAGUCUGGGAUAAGUUUUGGACUUUUUCCCCCCUACUUUUAGCUUACCUUUUAGUUGUUUUUUUUUUUUCAGUAUUGCAUACAAUUAAAUUAGGCAAAUUAUCAAAAUAAAAACAGCAUACACAAAUUGAGAACUGGAAUCAGAAUUGGGCUCAUACUCCAACCCUGCAACAUAUUAUAAAUGUGUAUCUCAGUUUACUUCUGCAAGAACAGUCUUCUCUUCUGCAAAAUAAAGCUCACAGUACCAGUCUUACAAGGUACUUGUAAAAAGGAAAUUAUGUAAAUGAUUGGUGAGAUAGAAAAUGUUAUACAGGGAGAGAUGGUAUUAAUUGGACAAUUGAUUACAUAGAUUGAGAUGAAAUGUAAUUAAGAAAUGAACUCAAGAGGAAAAAUACCCAGACACUUUAUAAAAGAAUCCUUUAUGUGAUUGAUUUAGGUAUAACUAACGGAAAUAGAAGUUUUAGACUUUUGAACCUAAUUUUAAAACUCUAGUUCAAUAGAGUGGCACCCCAAUGUUCAAAUCAAAUUUCCAACAGAUGUCACCCUAAUCCCUUCAAUUGUCGUUGUGACUAACCCUCUGGCUAGUCACUCAGUGCUCCAGGUAAUGAUAUAAAAAGUAAGCACUCGA